rnacentral:rRNA from 1 species
UACGUAGGGUGCGAGCGUUAAUCGGAAUUACUGGGCGUAAAGCGUGCGCAGGCGGUUCGUUGUGUCGGCGGUGAAAGCCCGGGCUUAACCUGGGAAUGGCCGUUGAAACUGGCGAACUGGAGUGUGGCAGAGGGGGUGGAAUUCCGGCGUGUAGCAGUGAAAUGCGUAGAGAUGCGGAGGACACCGAUGGCGAAGGACGGCUUCUUGGGCCCUACCUGACGCUGAGGCGCGAAGCCAGGGAGCGAACGGG